rnacentral:lncRNA from 1 species
AAAAAAUGAGUUUUGCCAUUAUACUAAUAAUAGUUUUUUUACGAAAGAUAAAAUGUUUUUAAAUAAUGAUGAGGGCAUAUAUAGUGUAAGAGGAGAUGGUAGUGACAAUUUGGAACUUACGGAAGAGCAUAGGGCUAUACAUGAUGCUGCAUAUAAGCCUGUGCGUGAUGCUGCAUAUAAGCCUGUGCGUGAUGCUGCAUAUAAGCCUGUGUGUGAUGCUGCAUAUAAGCAUGUACAUGUGGAAAACCAUGCUCCUACACAUAGUCAUAUAUCUACGAAUAAAAACACAAGCAUAUACAAUGAGCAAGUAAAAACGUAUAAGAAAAGUACGUACGCAAUAAGAAAAAAGCUUUUUCAUUUAUUAAGUGAAAAAAAAAAAAAAAAAAAAAAAAAAAAAAAGCCUUUUGCAUAAAAUGUAUUUACAUAAUUGGUAUAAUAACAUGAUGAGAGAAAUCGGAUGUAAUAAAAAUUGUGUUGACAAAAAUAGAAUAUUUUCUUUUUCUGGUAGCUGCUAUACUAGCAAAAGCAGCUAUGAAAACAAAAAAACAAAUAAAAAACUUAGUUGUAAUAACAAGCAAUGUAAGAAAAAUAAAAAAACGAAAAUGCUUGAGAGUAUCAAUAACAAAUUAGUUAAUAUGCGUAAAUGGGGAAAACAUAAUUUAAUAAAUAAAAACUUAUGGGAAAAAUUCACAGAAUAUACUUUUUGGUUAAUGAAAAAUAAAAUGAAAAAUGAAAUGAAAAAUGAAAUGAAAAAUGAAAUGAAAAAUAAAAUGAAAAAUGAAAUGAAAAAAAAAAUGAAAAAUAAAAUAAAAAAAAAAAAGAUUAAUCAUAAAAAACCGUUUAUUUAUGUGUCAAAUAAGAGUUAUAAAAAAAGAAAAUUGAACGAUAUAAAUAAUAUCGACAACAAUAUGUUGUGUGAAUAUAAAGAUUACUAUUUUAUGAAAAAGAAAAAUUUUUAUAAAAAUGCAGAAAAAUAUAUGUCUAACAACAUAUUUAACAAUGACAAUCGUACUAACAUACAAGAUAGUGUGUCACAUUUAGAAGAGAGUAUUGGUUAUAGUAAUAAUGGUAGUGAUGAAACCAUAAUAACACAUAACAAUAACAGUGUUAAUAAUAAAUCUUUAAAAAAAUACAAAUCAUACGAAAUCGACGAGUGUGGUGAUUACACAUUUGGAAAAAAUUAUAAAAACGAUAAAUCUAUGCAUUCUAGUUACAAUUCAUAUGUGAAUAAACCUGAUAUGUUACAUAGGGAUAGGUUUAAUCUAAAAAAUGAUUAUUAUAAUGGACAGGAUCAUGUUGCUUUGCCAGUUGGCGACAGAUUGAGCAAUAAGAUAUUACUUGAUAAAGGACGGAGAUAUAAGUCAAAAGAGUAUAACUCACAAGGACAUAACUCAGCAGGGUAUGACUUAGAAAAAAAGCAAAGCGAACACAUUUUAAGCGAAAAUACUUUAAGCAAACACAUUUUAAGCGAAAAUACUUUAAGCGAACACGAAUCAGAUAGACAUUCGCUUACCGCACCCAUUUUCCCAUUUUAUAAUUCGAAGAAUAUAUUUACAAAACAGGUAAAUAAAAACAAAAACUACCAGUCAUGUAGUAGCAAUCAAUAUACUAAUAGUAGGUAUAGUAAUUGUAAUAAACACGGUGGUAAGUAUACAUAUGAAAACUUAAACAAAGUUUUUGAUUAUCAAAAUGAGUUUGUUAAUGCGCUACCUUCGAACUACAUAGACGUAAAAAUGCAUGCACCUGUGUUACUAUCUAACAAAAUAAAUCCAUAUCUUACUAAACAGAACGAUAAUAAAAAAAUUAAGAAAAGGACAACUUACAAGAGGAAACGGAAAUUACAGGGAAAAAGUUAUGAACAAAUGUAUAAACAGAUGUAUGCGCAGAUGCAUGAUAAUAUGCAUGAUAAUAUGCAUGGACAGAUGUAUGGGCAGAUGCAUGAACAUAUGCAUGGACAGAUUCAUGGACAGAUUCAUGGACAGAUUCAUGAAAAGAUGCAUAACCAGCUACAUGGAAAAGAGAAACGAUUGAGGUAUGACAGCCAAAAAACAAAAGACAAAACGUGGGAAAAUAAAAAAGCUAGUGAAUCAUACACAAACAAUGUUUCUAAUAUAUUUUCACAUAAUAAUAUAAAUAAAGAUAACAACUCGAGUAUCAAUGUUAAUGUGAGUAGUGACAGCAUUUUAAGUAUAAGUGGAUGUGAACUGAAAAAACAUAUGGAUGACAUGUUUAAAAGGCAAGAAACAAGUAAUUUGCUAUGUCUAAAAAAAUAUAAGGAUACGUCAAAUAUGAUUAGCAUAUUAGAUGAUUCGAGUGUUGACAGUGGUAAUAUGUGGGUUCCCAGAAUAGAAGAUAAAUCAAGAAAUAUGGCAGAAAAAAAAAAAAACUACCAAAAAGGGGGUCAUAACAAAAGGAAUCAUACAAAGGAGAGUUAUAAAAAGAAGGAUUGUGAAAAGAAGGAUUGUGAAAAGAAGGAUUGUGAGCAGGACAAGUAUGAACAAGAAAAACAUAAAAAGAAAAAUGAAGAAAAAAAAAGUAACAAAAGAAGGGGUGUACAAAGGGAAGAGCGAGAAGUGGAAGGUGGAAAAAAAAAUGUAGAUAAAAAAUUGUCACAUAAAAAAAAAAUGAUUAAACAAAGAUAUUAUGAAAAAAAAACUUCCACUACUGUUUAUUUUGAAAAUAUAAAUACUUCACAUAUAACAACAGGUGAUGAAUACAAUCAUAUUAUAACCCCGGUACUAAAUGAUAAAGAAUUAAACAAUGUAAAUUUAAAUCAAAGGCAUGGUAGCAAAUAUGAGUUAAGAGCAAAAAGAAAAGUAUCAUAUGUAUUACCACCUAUGAAUAAAAAAUUCAGGAGAGAUAGCAAAAAAAAAAUAUUUGAUCCGUUUUUGUAC